GAUGAACGCUGGCGGCGUGCCUAAUACAUGCAAGUCGCGCGAAGCGGGGACGGGUGAGUAACACGUUGAUAACCUCCUAUAAGACUGGGAUAACUUCGGGAAACCGGGGCUAAACCGGAUACGUAUAGAUGGACCCGCGCUGCAUUAGCUAGUUGGUAAGGUAACGGCUUACCAAGGCAACGAUGCAUAGCCGACCUGAGAGGGGACUCGGCAACACUGGAACGUGCACACUGUCAAGAAUCCGACGGGAGGCCGCAGUGGGCAAUCUUCCGAAAUGUGAGAGAGCCUGACGGAGAAACGCAGCGUGAGUGAUGAGGGUCUUCGGAUCGUAAAGCUCUGGUAUUAGGGAAGCGGUACCUAAUCAGAAAGCCACGGCUAACUACGUGACAGCAGCCGCGGUAAUUC
rnacentral:rRNA from 1 species